GGCUACCUAGCGCAAUGGUAGCGCGUUUGGCUUCGAUUGCUCAACGGUUACCAAAAGGUUGCAGGUUCGAGUCCUGCGGUGGUCA